rnacentral:tRNA from 1 species
AAUGAAAUGCCUGAAUAAAAGGAUUAUUUUGAUAGAAUAAAUUAUAUAAUUUAAAUUAUUUUCAUUA